GACGAACGCUGGCGGCGUGCUUAACACAUGCAAGUCGAACGGAAGGGACCUGCUUUUGUUGGUUGCUCGAGUGGCGAACGGGUGAGUAACACGUGAGUAACCUGCCCUUGACUUUGGGAUAACUUCAGGAAACUGGGGCUAAUACCGGAUAGGAGCUCCUGCUGCAUGGUGGGGGUUGGAAAGGUUCGGCGGUUGGGGAUGGACUCGCGGCUUAUCAGCUUGUUGGUGGGGUAGUGGCUUACCAACGCUUUGACGGGUAGUAGGCCUGAGAGGGUGAGCGGCACCAUCGGGACUGAGAUACGGCCCAGACUAGUCCGGGAGGCAGGAGUGGAGUAUGGUGUACUGUGGGCGGAAGCCUAAUGUAGCGACGCCGCGUGCGGGAUGACGGCCUUCGGGUCGUAAACCGCUUUCGCCUUGGACGAGGCGUUAAUGACGGUAAUGGGCAAAGAAGCGCCGGCUAACUACGUG
rnacentral:rRNA from 1 species